GAUGAACGCUGGCGGCGUGCUUAACACAUGCAAGUCGAACGAGAAUCAACGGAUUGAGGAUUCGUCCAAAUGAAGUUGAGGAAAGUGGCGGACGGGUGAGUAACGCGUGAGGAACCUGCCUCGGAGUGGGGAAUAACAGUUGGAAACAGCUGCUAAUACCGCAUAAUGCAACGGAAUCGCAUGACUCUGUUGCCAAAGAUUUAUCGCUCUGAGAUGGCCUCGCGUCUGAUUAGCUAGUUGGUAGGGUAAUGGCCUACCAAGGCGACGAUCAGUAGCCGGACUGAGAGGUUGACCGGCCACAUUGGGACUGAGACGCGGCCCAG
rnacentral:rRNA from 1 species